GACGUAGGGCGCGAGCGUUGUCCGGAUUUAUUGGGCGUAAAGAGCUCGUAGGCGGUUUCGUAAGUCGGAUGUGAAAACUCCAGGCUCAACUUGGAGACGCCAUUCGAUACUGCGAUGACUUGAGUCCGGUAGGGGAGUGUGGAAUUCCUGGUGUAGCGGUGAAAUGCGCAGAUAUCAGGAGGAACACCGGCGGCGGAAGGCGGCACUCGUGGGCCGGUACUGACGCUGAGGAGCGAAAGCCGUGGGUAGCAAACAGG
rnacentral:rRNA from 1 species